rnacentral:lncRNA from 1 species
AACAAGUGAAGAAGAAAUAGUUACACGAGUACGAUUUGACAAAAUUAGGGUUAUGGGAAUAAUUUCAAAACAUUAAUCAAUGAUUUUCUUCAAAAAUCAUCAAAAAAAAUGUAAAAAAAAAUAAAUAAAAAAAUAAACUUAAUUGUAGUUUUCAUUAAAACCACCAUAAAUUUAUGGAGAUUUUUCAAAUGGCCAAAAAUUAACUUCUGAUAAAUUAAUUGCAGCUAGAUAGGCGUAUGCCCCCCCCUCCCCCCUCACCCUCAC